rnacentral:rRNA from 1 species
UACCCUACGGGGGGCAGCAGUGAGGAAUAUUGGUCAAUGGGCGCGAGCCUGAACCAGCCAAGUCGCGUGAGGGAUGACGGCCCUACGGGUUGUAAACCUCUUUUGUCGGGGAGCAAAUUCCGCCACGUGUGGCGGAGUCGAGAGUACCCGAAGAAAAAGCAUCGGCUAACUCCGUGCCAGCAGCCGCGGUAAUACGGAGGAUGCGAGCGUUAUCCGGAUUUAUUGGGUUUAAAGGGUGCGCAGGCGGUCUGUUACGUCAGCGGUCAAAGCCCGGGGCUCAACCCCGGCCC